rnacentral:rRNA from 1 species
GGCUGAAACUCGCCUACAUGAAGCUGGAGUUGCUAGUAAUCGCGAAUCAGCAUGUCGCGGUGAGUACGUUCCCGGGCCUUGUACACACCGCCCGUCACACCAUGAGAGUUGGCAAUACCCAACGUACGUGAUCUAACCCGCAAGGGAGGAAGCGUCCUAAGGUAGGGUCAGCGAUUGGGGUGAAGUCGUAACAAGGUAAC